rnacentral:rRNA from 1 species
AAUGAACGUUGGCGGCGUGGAUUAGGCAUGCAAGUCGAGCGCGAAUCGUAGCAAUACGAGGAGAGCGGCGAAAGGGAGAGGAAUACGUGGAUACCUACCCUCAGGUUCAGGAUAGCUGUGGGAAACUACAGGUAAUACUGAAUAAUAUCUCCGGAUCAAAGGUGUGAUUCCACCUGAGGAGGGGUCCGCGUCCUAUUAGCUAGUUGGCGAGGUAACGGCUCACCAAGGCGAAGAUGGGUAUGGGAUGUGAGAGCAUGAUCCCACUCACUGGGACUGAGACACUGCCCAGACACCUACGGGUGGCUGCAGUCGAGAAUCUUCGGCAAUGGGGGCAACCCUGACCGAGCGACGCCGCGUGUGAGAUGAAGGCCUUCGGGUUGUAAAUCACUGUCAGAGGGGAGGAAAUGCUAGGGAGUUAUCUCCCUAGUUUGACCUAGCCUCAGAGGAAGGACGGGCUAAGUUCGUGCCAGCCGCCGCU